GGCUCCUUGAUAUCCACAAAUAAGGAGUCGGACCUGCCCAGUGAAUUUUUUUAACGGCCGCGGUACUCUGACCGUGCAAAGGUAGCAUAAUCAUUUGCCUUAUAAUUGAAGGCUUGUAUGAAUGGUUUGACAAGAAUGUAACUGUCUCUUUGCAACUGAUUAGAAUUUUAUUUAUGGGUGAAGAAGCCCAUAUCCCAGUGAUAGACAAGAAGACCCUAUCGAGCUUAAAAAAAGUUAGUAAGUCUUAAAUUACUUAAUAUUAUGUAGAAAAUUAUUUACUAAAAAUUUUGGUUGGGGCGACAGAGGAACAAAUAAAACUUCCUUUAAUACAAAUAAUAACAAACAAGUAAUGAUCCAAAAAUUUUGAUUAAAGAAAUUAGUUACCGUAGGGAUAACAGCAUUAUCUUUUUUAAGAGCUCUAAUCGAAAAAAAGGUUUGUGACCUCGAUGUUGGACCAGAAUAUCCUAAAGAUGCAGCCGUCUUUAAAGGUUGGUCUGUUCGACCAUUAAAAUUCU
rnacentral:rRNA from 1 species